CUGACAUCCUGACAGAGGCCACGUACCUGCUCCCUGCUACAAAAACCUUGCCUAAAAUGAAGUGUAUCUACUUCACAUUACUUCUCAGAUGUUUCAGGUGAUACUGGCAACAUGCCUCUCUGAGGUCAGUCCACACUGAUUUAGCAGCUCAUUAAUGGAACUUUCAAUCUUUUCUCCCUCAAGAAUGUUGAUACCAUGGAUGGAGGGGAGACAACUAGCAGCUAAUUCAGGAGACAGAUAAAUGGAUGGACUCAUCAAGCCUAGUAAAUAAGACUAGCCCUUCUUUAUAGCAGCAGAGGAACCUUUCCUCAAAGUAUCUGGUCCGUCUUCAAAUACACGAAACUCAUCUCGUGAAGCAGGUUACUUCUGUAAGAAAAUCAUUACGUAUCACUGAGAUUCUAGACUUCAUGGUAGAUUGGGCACAGGAGAAGGAAGAAUCCAGUUGUAAUACAUUGGCUGAAGUGUACCCACACUCCUGAGCAGCUGUAUCACUGUGUACUGGCUUGCACUGCAAAUAAAAAUCUGCAACACUGCAAUAGUAAAUUUCAGUACUCACUUUUGUGUAUAACACAAAAAUUUGGCAUGAGAGCCCAAACUUCAGCUCAACCUGAAGUAUGACCACGGCCAGGACACAGUAUAUUCUAUAGUUCCUUUGCCCAUAGUCUCAGGAGCUGGAGUUUGGGGAGUGGCCGUGUGGUGUGGAGGGGCUUCUUGCUGGAUUAUGCUGUCUAAGGAAACACUAUUUGCAGCUUUCUUCUGCUUCCUGCUGAAAGGGUGCAAAGGAUCCUAAGUAUUGUGCUUUAUUUAAUUUUCUGAUUAAUUGAAAGAGACAAACAGCUUUAUUCUAAACCCUCCUACAACCCAUUUCCAUUAAUAUACAUCCAGCACCACCCCAUCAACAUCCAGAUUCUCUUUCUAAUUAUUUGUAAAUUUAAUUGAAAGCUGAUUGUACUUAUCAAUGUAUUUGUUAGAGUUUAUGUAAUUCAGAUGAAUAGCUGCAUUCACUUGCACAGGAACUGAACUAGCCUGUAAUUUUGACAGAAAAAUCUAUCAGAUAGAAACACUACCACUGUAAAUAACU